rnacentral:lncRNA from 1 species
GCUAAAGAAGCUUUACUUUCUCUUUUCUUAUUUUAAGGAAACAGAAUCAAGCGUGCUGAUGCUUCUUAAAUGCCUCAAUCAAGUAGCCAUGACCAGAAAGGCCCAUUCAUCCUUUUACACCUUCAACCGCAGCCUUCUUCAGAGGAGAUUUCUAAGGUAGCAGAUGGACCAUUCAAAGACUUAGAAAAUGAGGCCAAACAGAUGAAUAAAUGGUGAGAAUGACAUGCCGUUGCUCCUCCUUCACCUUCUGCCACGAUUGUGAGGCCUCCCCAGCCAUGUGGAACUGUAAGUCAAUUAAACCUAUUUUUCUUUAUAAAUUACCCAGUCUUGGAUAUUUCUUCGUAGCAGUAUGAAUAUGGACUAAUACGGGGGCAAUCCUUACAUAGGGGGGACACCGCUUCAUGUCCACAUGUGACUGAGGCAACGGGCCACACCGGCUUCAGCCACCAAGGCAGGCAUGAAGCACAAGAGGCAUCCCGAGGCUUUCCUGGGCAGUGUUUAUUUGCCCACAAAAGGAUGGUGGAAUCUUGCACCAUGUGGUCUAUCAACAGAUAAUAAGAUGAAAUAUUUAGCUUGUGAACCUUGCCUUCAAUAGU